rnacentral:rRNA from 1 species
CAGCAGUAGCCGCGGUAAUACGUAGGUGGCAAGCGUUGUCCGGAAUUAUUGGGCAUAGAGGGCUCGCAGGCGGUUUCUUAAGUCUGAUGUGAAAGCCCCCGGCUCAACCGGGGAGGGUCAUUGGAAACUGGGAAACUUGAGUGCAGAAGAGGAGAGUGGAAUUCCACGUGUAGCGGUGAAAUGCGUAGAGAUGUGGAGGAACACCAGUGGCGAAGGCGACUCUCUGGUCUGUAACUGACGCUGAGGAGCGAAAGCGUGGGGAGCGAACAGGAUUAGAUACCCGAGUAGUCCCUGUCUCUUAUAC